AAUAUUGGACAAUGUGGGCAACCCUGAUCCAGCCAUGCCGCGUGUGUGAAGAAGGUCUUCGGAUUGUAAAGCACUUUAAGUUGGGAGGAAGGGCUUUAGGUUAAUACCCAGAAGUUUUGACGUUACCAACCGACUAAGCACCGACUAACUCUUUCCCAGCAGCCGCGGUAAUACAGAGGGUGCAAGCGUUAAUCGGAAUCACUGGCCGUAAAGCGCGCGUAGGUGGUUCAGUAAGAUGGGUGUGAACUCCCCGGGCUUAACCUGGGAACUGCUUUCAUAACUGCUGAGCUAGAGUACGGUAGAGGGUAGUGGAAUUUCCUGUGUAGCGGUGAAAUGCGUAGAUAUAGGAAGGAACACCAGUGGCGAAGGCGACUACCUGGACUGAUACUGACACUGAGGUGCGAAAGCGUGGGGAGCAAAC
rnacentral:rRNA from 1 species